rnacentral:rRNA from 1 species
GAUGAACGCUGGCGGCGUGCCUAAUACAUGCAAGUCGAGCGAACAGACGAGGAGCUUGCUCCUCUGACGUUAGCGGCGGACGGGUGAGUAACACGUGGAUAACCUACCUAUAAGACUGGGAUAACUUCGGGAAACCGGAGCUAAUACCGGAUAAUAUAUUGAACCGCAUGGUUCAAUAGUGAAAGACGGUUUUGCUGUCACUUAUAGAUGGAUCCGCGCCGCAUUAGCUAGUUGGUAAGGUAACGGCUUACCAAGGCGACGAUGCGUAGCCGACCUGAGAGGGUGAUCGGCCACACUGGAACUGAGACACGGUCCAGACUCCUACGGGAGGCAGCAGUAGGAAAUCUUCCGCAAAGGGCGAAAGCCUGACGGAGCAACGCCGCGUGAGUGAUGAAGGUCUUCGGAUCGUAAAACUCUGUUAUUAGGGAAGAACAAAUGUGUAAGUAACUAUGCACGUCUUGACGGUACCUAAUCAGAAAGCCACGGCUAACUACGUG